rnacentral:rRNA from 1 species
UACGUAGGGGGCAAGCGUUGUCCGGAUUUAUUGGGCGUAAAGAGCUCGUAGGCGGUUUGGUAAGUCUGGUGUGAAAUCUCCACGCUCAACGUGGAGGGGCCACCCGAUACUGCCAUGACUGGAGUCCGGUAGAGGAGUGUGGAAUUCCUGGUGUAGCGGUGAAAUGCGCAGAUAUCAGGAAGAACACCCGUGGCGAAGGCGGCUCUCUGGAACGCAACUGACGCUGAGACGCGAAAGCGUGGGGAGCAAACAGG